AAGUCGUAACAAGGUCUCCGUAGGGGAACCUGCGGAGGGAUCAUUUCCAUUUAAAAAACUGAAAAAGACUUGGAGGGGUCAAACUCUCUGAGGAUUUUUCAAAAAGUUGGUUGUGUUCAUUUUUAAAAGAGUUGUUGGUAUUGGUUCAAUGUCAUGUUGGGCCAACAUCCAUCAGCUUCUUAAAAAAAACUGUAAUCAAAGCAUCCUUAACUUGAUUGUUGCUUUAUCUUUUAUGAUAAAUAAAAAAACAAAACAACUAUCAACGGCGGAUCUCUUGGUUCGU
rnacentral:misc_RNA from 1 species